UACGUAGGGCGCAAGCGUUGUCCGGAAUUAUUGGCGUAAAGAGCUUGUAGGCGGUUUGUCGCGUCUGCCGUGAAAAUCCGGGGCUCAACCCCGGACUUGCGGUGGGUACGGGCAGACUAGAGUGUGGUAGGGGAGACUGGAAUUCCUGGUGUAGCGGUGAAAUGCGCAGAUAUCAGGAGGAACACCGAUGGCGAAGGCAGGUCUCUGGGCCACUACUGACGCUGAGAAGCGAAAGCGUGGGGAGCGAACAGG
rnacentral:rRNA from 1 species